GACAGCAGCAGCCACGGUAAGACAGAGGGUGCAAACGUUGUUCGGAAUUACUGGGCGUAAAGCGAGUGUAGGCGGUUUGAAAAGUCGGGUGUGAAAGCCCUGGGCUCAACCCAGGAAGUGCACUCGAUACUCUCAAGCUAGAGUAUCGGAGAGGUUGGUGGAAUUCUCGGUGUAGAGGUGAAAUUCGUAGAUAUCGAGAGGAACACCGGUGGCGAAGGCGGCCAACUGGACGAAUACUGACGCUGAGACUCGAAAGCGUGGGGAGCAAACAGGAUUAGAGACCCGCGUAGUCCCUGUCUCUUAUAC
rnacentral:rRNA from 1 species